rnacentral:rRNA from 1 species
GACAGAGGGUGCAAACGUUGUUCGGAAUUACUGGGCGUAAAGCGCGUGUAGGCGGCUUUGCAAGUCGGGUGUGAAAUCCCACGGCUCAACCGUGGAAGUGCAUUCGAAACUGCGAGGCUAGAGUCCUGGAGAGGAAGGUGGAAUGCUUGGUGUAGAGGUGAAAUUCGUAGAUAUCAGAAAGAACACCAAUGGCGAAGGCAGCUCUCUGGGACGGUACUGACGCUGAGACGCGAAAGCGUGGGGAGCGAACAGG